CUUGGCGGCCAUAGAGGCGUGGAACCACCUGAUCCCAUCCCGAACUCAGAAGUGAAACGCGCCAUCGCCGAUGAUAGUGUGGGGCUUCCCCAUGUGAAAGUAGGUCACCGCCAAGC
rnacentral:rRNA from 1 species